CACGAUCCGUCCAGUUGAUCCUACGGGUGAACAUUAAAGAGAAGAGGAAGAAUGUGAAUUCCAAGAGGAAAAGGAGAACAUCUCUGCAUAACAGUUGUCAAGCUGAUGGGUCCCAGAGUACAAGAGUUUCAGGUGUGCAGCAUGGUCAUUCAACACUUCCACACGACACCCG